CAGGGAAUCUUGCACAAUGGGCGAAAGCCUGAUGCAGCGACGCCGCGUGGGGGAUGAAGGCCUUAGGGUCGUAAACCCCUUUCAGCAGGGACGAAAAUGACGGUACCUGCAGAAGAAGCCCCGGCCAACUACGUGCCAGCAGCCGCGGUAAGACGUAGGGGGCGAGCGUUGUCCGGAUUUAUUGGGCGUAAAGAGCUCGUAGGCGGUUGCGUAAGUCGGAUGUGAAAACUCAGGGCUCAACCCUGAGACGCCAUCCGAUACUGCGCUGACUUGAAUCCAGUAGGGGAGUGUGGAAUUCCUGGUGUAGCGGUGAAAUGCGCAGAUAUCAGGAGGAACACCCAUGGCGAAGGCAGCACUCUGGGCUGGUAUUGACGCUGAGGAGCGAAAGCAUGGGUAGCGAACAGGAUUAGAUACCCCCGUAGUCCCUGAGCGGGCUGGCAAGGCGCAU
rnacentral:rRNA from 1 species